rnacentral:rRNA from 1 species
AGAGUUUGAUCAUGGCUCAGGAUGAACGCUGGCGGCGUGCUUAACACAUGCAAGUCGAACGAACCUUCGGGUUAGUGGCGGACGGGUGAGUAACGCGUGAGAAUCUGCCCUCAGGAGGGGGAUAACGGUUGGAAACGACCGCUAAUACCCCAUAUGCCUAUUGGUGAAAUGAAUUUCGCCUGAGGAUGAGCUCGCGUCUGAUUAGCUAGUUGGUGAGGUAAUGGCUCACCAAGGCUUCGAUCAGUAGCUGGUCUGAGAGGAUGAUCAGCCACACUGGGACUGAGACACGGCCCAGACUCCUACGGGAGGCAGCAGUGGGGAAUUUUCCGCAAUGGGCGAAAGCCUGACGGAGCAACGCCGCGUGAGGGACGAAGGCCUCUGGGCUGUAAACCUCUUUUCUCAAGGAAGAAGAUAUGACGGUACUUGAGGAAUAAGCCACGGCUAAUUCCGUGCCAGCAGCCGCGGUAAUACGGGAGUGGCAAGCGUUAUCCGGAAUUAUUGGGCGUAAAGCGUCCGCAGGCGGCUUUUCAAGUCUGCUGUUAAAGCGUGGAGCUUAACUCCAUCAUGGCAGUGGAAACUGAAAGGCUUGAGUAUGGUAGGGGCAGAGGGAAUUCCCGGUGUAGCGGUGAAAUGCGUAGAUAUCGGGAAGAACACCAGUGGCGAAGGCGCUCUGCUGGGCCAUUACUGACGCUCAUGGACGAAAGCCAGGGGAGCGAAAGGGAUUAGAUACCCCUGUAGUCCUGGCCGU